CCUGGCGAUGAUAGCGAGUGGGUACCACCUGAUUCCAUUCCGAACUCAGAAGUGAAACUGCUCAGCGCCGAUGAUAGUGUAGAUGUAUGUCUAUGUGAAAGUAGGUCAUCGUCAGGU
rnacentral:rRNA from 4 species